rnacentral:tRNA from 1 species
GCGGGUAUAGUUUAGUGGUAAAAUAUGGGUUUUCCAAACCUAGGUCGGGAGUUCGAUUCUCCCUACCCGCA